GACGAACGCUGGCGGCGUGCCUAAUACAUGCAAGUAGAACGCUGAAGGAGGAGCUUGCUUCUCUGGAUGAGUUGCGAACGGGUGAGUAACGCGUAGGUAACCUGCCUGGUAGCGGGGGAUAACUAUUGGAAACGAUAGCUAAUACCGCAUAAUAUUGACUAUUGCAUGAUAGUCAGUUGAAAGGUGCAACUGCACCACUACCAGAUGGACCUGCGUUGUAUUAGCUAGUUGGUGGGGUAACGGCUCACCAAGGCGACGAUACAUAGCCGACCUGAGAGGGUGAUCGGCCACACUGGGACUGAGACACGGCCCAGACUCCUACGGGAGGCAGCAGUAGGGAAUCUUCGGCAAUGGACGGAAGUCUGACCGAGCAACGCCGCGUGAGUGAAGAAGGUUUUCGGAUCGUAAAGCUCUGUUGUAAGAGAAGAACGAGUGUGAGAGUGGAAAGCUCUCACUGUGACGGUAUCUUACCAGAAAGGGACGGCUAACUACGUG
rnacentral:rRNA from 1 species